GACGAACGCUGGCGGCGUGCUUUAGACAUGCAAGUCGAACGAGAUCUUCGGAUCUAGUGGCGAACGGCGGAGUAAUACAUAAACAACGUGCCCUGAAGACUGGGAUAUACGGUCGAAAGGCCGAGCAAUACCGGAUGUGGCCGAGACUAGGCAUCUAGACUCGAUUAAAUGGUUUUCGCUUCAGGAGCGGUUUAUGACUCAUCAGCUAGUUGGUAGGUAAUGGCCUACCAAGGCUACGACGGGUAGGGGUCUGAGAGGAUGAUCCCCCCGAGUGGGACUGAGACACGGCCCACACACCUACGGGUGGCAGCAGUUUGGAAUCUUGCCCAAUGGGGGAAACCCUGAGGCAGCGACGCCGCGUGGAGGAUGAAGGAUUUAGGUCUGUAAACUCCUUUUGCCAGGAAAGACUUAGGACGGUACCUGGCGAAUAAGCUCCGGCUAACUACGUGCCAGCAGCCGCGGUAAU
rnacentral:rRNA from 1 species